rnacentral:sRNA from 1 species
GCCGGGUGUGGUGGUGCAUGCCUGUAAUCCCAUCAGCUCAGAAGGCUGAGGCAGGAGAAUCUCAAAUUCAAAGUCAAUCUCAGAGAGUGAGGCACUAAGCAACUCAGUGAGACCCUGUCUCUA